GGAGCCACGGCGGUCGACUUGCCGCCAUGAGGACAGCCAGGUAUCAGACUGACAGCCUUGAAGACUGAUGUCAUCUGUGCACAGAAAGGGAACAGAAUUAGCAGCACCAGCGAAAGCUCCACCCACGCCACCCUACAAAGAUGCCUCAAGCCUGCCUUAGAGAAAUCACCCCGUGCAAAUGUUUCUAUGCUGCCCCCAUCAUCUCCAUCCCAGAGGU